GGAUUUCUGAGUUCGAGGCCAGCCUGGUCUACAAAAUGAGUUCCAGGACAGCCAGGACUAUACAGAGAAACCCUGUCUCGAAAAACCAAAAAAAAAAAAAAAAAAAAAAAAAAAAACUACCCCAGGUGAAACAGCUUUGUCACCUGUGUCCCCAGGAAGGAUGUGCUUAGGCUCCCUUUCUAUUGUUAUAUAAUUCAGGAUCCCCAGCCUGGGGAUCGGCAACAGACAGGUCUUCCCCCCUUAACCACCCUAACCAAUAUCAUUCCUCACCAACAGGCACUAAAUAGUACCGCAAGGGUGUUCCCAAUUCCUAGGUGAUUCUAGAUCUCCUCCUGUUGACAACUGAGAUUAACUAUCACAGCCCCAUAGUUCCUGCUCCACAGAUGGGAGGGCCCAUGUAUGUCCUGCUGAGUUUCUAAUGUAAUCUUUCCCUUGAGGGAUGGUGGUUCAGCCUUUUUAAUGGGACAUCUUAUCCAGCUAUUUCUUUGUGGGCAUGGGUGAGUGGGUGUAUUGAAAUUAAUAUAAAACCAUUUUUCAGGUGCCUCUAGACUACCCAAAGACAAAAUGCACAAAUAAUGACUCCAUCAGGAGGCAAAACUCUGUCAUCUAUUAUCUGGGGCUAACCUGGUCUGCCUCGUUGGCUACAAACUGAGAGGGAAGCAUUGCAGGAAACCCACCCAUGAGGAUGCAUGAAGCACUUCCCGUCAGUGUCCUCAUGAGCUGAGAGUCCUCCCAAGUGCAUAAGUGCAUCCUGUCCAGCCUCUGCAGGGCGCUCCGGCCUAGCCCACAUGAUUUUCCAGAACUCCCGAGAACUCCCUACCUCUGUGAGUAAAAUGCAUCUCUAACUAUAUCCUUCCCUUUUGCACAAUCUUGUCAGUCUAUCUAUGAUGAGAUGGUUGCCUGGUUCUAGUUGACUACAAAGAGACUAUAAUCAUGAGUUUCAAGGUUAAGACAAUACUAACCAGCCUAGUCCUUCCCUGUGGUUUCAAACAUCCUUCUUACCACCAUAUGACCUCUUUUAGCUAAGACUUUCCUAAAGUCUGAAAGCUUCUUCUCACACUCCUCCUUCAGAUCCCUGUGAGACACUGUCAUCCUCAUUGUAGAUAAUAUUAGAUACCCAGUUUAAUUUCACACCUGAGCAAAUAGGCACAGAGAGGUUAAUUGAUCUAUCUGAGGUCACAAAGUUGCACUCCAAAUGUGGUCCUUCUAGCUCUUCACUCUAGAGUUCUUUCCUCUACAGAGAUUCAUGGGAACUUCAAACAGUCAAGGGACAGUGAUGGUGAAAUAAACCCAACAACAAUCAAUAUGCUGACAGGGCCCAGUGACUCUUGUCAAACAGGCCCCCCUCAUCCUCUACUAGCCUUCCCCCAUGAGGGAGAAGGCCUAAUCCUUCUAGAACUCCUCUGCUCUCUAUAUCUUAAUUCCAGGAUGCCAUCUGUUAUGGCUCAGGACACAGAUACUCAUGGCCCAUUUAACUACACUGAUUAGGGAUAGAAUGGGGAAGGCAGGAAACUAGGGCACAGUUCCUCUCUGUAACAGGCCUGCAGGGCUUCAGGCAGAUCCAGGGCAGGGCCUUGACAUGGAGACCACUGGGACAGACAGACAGGAAGAGUGGCAGUUCAGUCAGUACAAUAAAGUAUAACAUUCAAGGUGACCUGAGCCAUAGAUAAAUAAAGUGGAAGAGAAACUAGAGCCAUGACUGCUCUUCCAGAAGAGCACACUGGGCAGGUAACUUCUGAGAACAACACAGCUCAGUGGCAGAACAUUUGCCUAGAAUGGGCAAAGCCCUGGGUGCAAUUCCCAGCACCACAAAAGUCCAAGACCCAGAAGUCCUAUUUUGUUCACCUUUCUGGCUGAUACAUAAACGCACAACCCUAGAAAGUGGUUAUACAAUAAAGCCACACCACUACAGCUUUCAAGAGUUCAUCCAUUCAGUUUUAGUCCCUGGUGUCUCAUCUCCCUGAGUGAUCUCCAAGGCAGCAGCACUUGCAUCCAUGGGAGUUUGAGCCCAGUAGCCCUUUCACCAAAACCCAUCAGAUAAGACUCUGUCUUACAAAAAGAUCGCAAAGUGCUUCACAUGGUACCCAUUAAAGAUUGAGGAGCCAAGACUGAUGGGCCCAAAGCAAGGGAAAUGGGCUGUAGGAUAGAUAAUUGAAUAUGGAAAAGCAGGCCUUUAUAAAUCUGAGUCAUGAAGUCACAGUAGGGAAGACCGGAGGCAUCAGACCAGAACCACACAGAAGACUCCAGAGAACAGGAGGGAGCUGCUACGGAGAAUGGAGAUGCAGGGCCAUGAGGACAGCGACGGAGAGCUGCAGCUGUGCCUUUUACCCACAUGUGCUUGGGGAAGAUCUUUCUUCACUUAGCUGGCCUUUGUCAGGGUUUGGUGGUGACGUGAGACUCAAGGAGAGUCUUUCUUGCAUGUAUUUAUUUCUUCUUAGCAAUCUGCAAGUCAAACUGCCUCCUCCUUCAGAGGCUCACCUACUGUCUGUCCAGCCCUGGUCAUAGGACAGAUCUAUGGCAUCGAACUUUAUAAAGACCCAGGUGACUUCUGUGCUCUUUUGUCACAAAUACAGAGAGAAAGUUUUAGUCUAGCAAUUUGACUUCUUUUUCUCUUAUUUACUUGUGGGUGGGUUGUUUGCUGUAUUUUGGGGGUGGGCAGGAGUACAUGUGGAAAUGAAAAGAUAAUUUCUUCCACUAUGUGGGAUCCUAGGAUCUAACCCACCUCAUUAAGUUUCCUAACAAGGGCCUCUAUCACUGAGCCGUGUCACCAGGCCCGGACUGUUGUAUUAAACAGUAGUUUUACUUCUAAGAUUACAAUCACAUCCUAUAAGAAGUUGCAUCUACUAAAUGUGACCCAUGCCUUCAGCUAGACUGUUUCUAGCAGCUUAUCAACCCAGGCACCUGCUUUUUUUACUUAUGUGUUAUCAUUAGCAUCUGGCUGCUGAACUGAUGUAAUGGGUAACUGAAAUUUAUAUCCAGGGCCUAGCAAGUUGUGUUACCUUAGCCCAAAGAAAAUCUAAGAGCUACUUCUGAAGCAAGUGGAUUCUCUACAAAAACAUUUUCCAUAUAUGGCUCUAACUAAUUAAUAGAAAAAUUUGUGGUUGCUGGAGUUCUACACAGAGGACUCCCAAUGAAGCCAUUACCUGUUGUUGUUUGGUAUUAGCAGCCAAAUCUGUAGGUAGUAUAUUCAACUUGGUUUCUAAAGAGAGGGUGGCAGCCAAGAUUACACCAGCGUGAUUGUGGCUUCACUGGUCACACUUACUAUGCUACCUACUGUAUUAUCAAACUUGCCCCGAGGGACUUGAUGCCCCUAAUCAGCAGGAAGUAGUCUAACAAUAACUUUCUCCUUUUCUGGCCCUUGACUUUAUUCAGGAAUCUCUUUUCUUUCCCCUCUACCCUUUUUUCUCUCUUAUCUAGUGUUAAGGGGUUGUUGAAAGGGUGGGAGAAAAGGGAUGGAGAAGGUGGAAGAAGGGUGAGCCCACAAAAUAGCCAAGCUAGUUACUUGGGUUGGACGCAUAACUCUGCUCUAAACCAUGAGACCUGGGCUCUACCUCAGUGUCACAAGAGAAAACG
rnacentral:lncRNA from 1 species